UGCCAUCAUCGAUGAAUGAGACGCAAUUUGAUGCGAGUAUAACGUAACACGCUCGCUCGAUGUUGGUCGAUGACAAAACGGACGAGUCUCUCCGGUUUGCCACUUCGAAUCCGGAUUGCCGGAUUAGUUUUACAGCACAAGACGUAAAUCCCAAAGAGAAAAGGGAUAAAGACGCGACCGUUAUCUUUUACAACAAGCUGGCGAUAGCCAGUAGCAAAACACAUUAGAGGCUACUUUAUAAAGCAUGCAUAAAUAUCAUUUGGACGAAAGCUGCGAACGCGUGUACUCGAGAAGACAUGCAGGCGGCAGUAAUAGUUGCAAUCCACAAACUGUCCUCGAGCGAUACUUGGCGUAAUGAUAAGAGCUACAGCACACAGAAAAACGUAAAGCAAUAAGACGUAAGCAAUGAGGGAAUCGACC